UACAGAGGGUGCGAGCGUUAAUCGGAAUUACUGGGCGUAAAGCGCGCGUAGGCGGCUUUGCAAGUCGGGUGUGAAAUCCUGGAGCUCAACUCCAGAACUGCCCUUGAUACUGAGGAGCUUGAGUCCGGGAGAGGUGAGUGGAACUGCGAGUGUAGAGGUGAAAUUCGUAGAUAUUCGCAAGAACACCAGUGGCGAAGGCGGCUCACUGGCCCGGUACUGACGCUGAGGUGCGAAAGCGUGGGGAGCAAACAGG
rnacentral:rRNA from 1 species